rnacentral:rRNA from 1 species
UACGAAGGGGGCUAGCGUUGUUCGGAAUAACUGGGCGUAAAGCGCACGUAGGCGGAUUUGUAAGUCAGGGGUGAAAUCCCGGGGCUCAACCUCGGAACUGCCUUUGAUACUGCAAGUCUGGAGUCCGGAAGAGGUUAGUGGAAUUCCUAGUGUAGAGGUGAAAUUCGUAGAUAUUGGGAAGAACACCAGUGGCGAAGGCGGCUCACUGGUCCGGUUCUGACGCUGAGGCGCGAAAGUGUGGGGAGCAAACAGG